rnacentral:rRNA from 1 species
GAUGAACGCUGGCGGCGUGCCUAAUACAUGCAAGUCGAGCGAACGGACGAGAAGCUUGCUUCUCUGAUGUUAGCGGCGGACGGGUGAGUAACACGUGGAUAACCUACCUAUAAGACUGGGAUAACUUCGGGAAACCGGAGCUAAUACCGGAUAAUAUUUUGAGCCGCAUGGUUCAAAAGUGAAAGACGGUCUUGCUGUCACUUAUAGAUGGAUCCGCGCUGCAUUAGCUAGUUGGUAAGGUAACGGCUUACAAGGCAACGAUGCAUAGCCGACCUGAGAGGGUGAUCGGCCACACUGGAACUGAGACACGGUCCAGACUCCUACGGGAGGCAGCAGUAGGGAAUCUUCCGCAAUGGGCGAAAGCCUGACGGAGCAACGCCGCGUGAGUGAUGAAGGUCUUCGGAUCGUAAAACUCUGUUAUUAGGGAAGAACAUAUGUGUAAGUAACUGUGCACAUCUUGACGGUACCUAAUCAGAAAGCCACGGCUAACUACGUG